GUGACAGAAGAGAGUGAGCACAGACAGGCAAUUGUAUAGACUAUACCAUUGUUUAUGUGUCUGUGCUCACUCUUCUUUCUGUCAG
rnacentral:pre_miRNA from 1 species